rnacentral:rRNA from 1 species
GGAUUAGAUACCCUGGUAGUCCACGCCGUAAACGAUGAUCACUAGACGUUAGGCUUGCUUGCAAGCUUAGUGUCGCAGCUAACGCGAUAAGUGAUCCGCCUGGGGAGUACGGUCGCAAGACUAAAACUCAAAGAAAUUGACGGGGGUCCGCACAAGCGGUGGAACAUGUGGUUUAAUUCGACAAUACGCGAGAAACCUUACCUAGGUUUGACAUGCUUUUGACAGUCGCAGAAACGCGAUCUUUCAAGUUUCGGCUUGGACAAUUGCACAGGUGCUGCAUGGCUGUCGUCAGCUCGUGUUG